ensembl:lncRNA
CUAGGGUGGAGGUAAACUUAAUAAUAAAUGCUUGUCAGUUUAACACAAUCCUCAAUGGAGUCACUCGCUCUUCUUAGCAGACUCCGCUUACGCGGUCCGGCAAAAAUUAAAUUUAGUACAACAACCUUUUUUACACCACAUUUUAUAUCCACUGCUGUCUCUGGUAUUGACCCUUCUGUUAUUUAUUUUUUAUUAAACUAUAACUGAUACACUUAACAAUGUAGUAGAAUAAUAACCAAUUAUGAAUGAACACAGUUUUGUUUAUUGAUGGAGUUCAGAUCAUAUCCAGAUUACAUAAAGUUGAUUUCCUUAAUAACAAACAAAAACAUAUUUUUCCAAACAAAUAAAAUAAAUAAUCCUUUUUGGCCUGGUGAUCCAGAAGUUUUCAUGAGGAUAUGUUGUUUAAUAUUGUCCCAUACACCUACAGUUCAAUCAUCUCCUCCCCUUCAUCCUGCGCAAAUAGGUAUGUGGCAAAUUCUAAGAAAAACAAUGAAAUCUCAUGCCAAGCUGUCACCAAGCACCUUUUGACUCCUACCACAGUCACCCCAGACACCAUAAAUAGUGAAAAGAGGACAGAAAGAAUAAUGAACAUGAAAAACCAACGGUAAAUGUAGUAAGUAAUCUUCUCCUGACGUGUCUUCUGAUCCCAAGGUAAGGCAUUGCGGGCCUCUGUAUAGCGGAUUACAUUUAGCAUUGCAUCGUCCUCCCCAUUCAUCCACCCCAUGGCCUCCAGCAAUGCUUUUUCCUCCUCGGUCGCAUCCCCCAGAGCUUUCUUUGCAUUCUCCUUCUGAUCUUUAGUAACCCUGUCUCCCUGUGCCAUUUUUUCCUUCCUUUAUUAGUUGAUUCUAUUAACCAAGUCACCUUGAUACCUCUUGGCUUGUAGUCCACCAAUUGUCUUCUGCUUAAAAAUUAUCCUUUGAAUGGUUCUUUUAAAACUUAAUAGAAGCCUUUUACAGUGUGCUUGUUUUCUUCGUGUCAGAGCUCAAGUGUCUUCUGGAGCAGCUUGUAGUAGACUGGCUGCAUGGGCCGAUUAGCUAGGUCAAGGUACCUCACUAAGAAGAUAUAUGGGAUUAAAGACAUUAUCAAGAACGUUGGCAAAUACGUACGCGGCAAUGUUGAAGAAAAAGGCUUUGAUCUUUACCCAGUUGGACACCCACCAUAUUUUAUAGAGAGUCUCCCCAAACAUCACAAAGAGGAAGAGGGUGAUGAAGAUGAGAAAGCAGCGGUCUGUGUAGUAGGUGCAAAUGAAAGUGACAACAGGUGCACUGGAGAGGCAACAGCAAGACAACCCCCAAAAAAGGGAAUGGUUUUGCAGUCUUCCAGUACAGUCUCAAGAGCGUGGAGGAGAUACCAGGACAUGGGCUGUUUCAUGAGGAGAGCUGGACAGGACCGUAGAAGGGCAUCAACCCAGCAGCAGGCCAUUGGCGCCCUUUUCUUUUCACAUGAGGUUGCACAGACCUCCAUGUGCUAGUCAACGGUACCCUGACUGCUGUUAGGUACCGGGAUGACAUCCUCAGACCCAUCGUCAGAUCUUACGCUGGUGCAGUGAGCCCUGGGUUCCUACUGGUGCAGGACAAUGUCUGGCCUCAUGUGGCUAGAGUGUGUAGGCAGUUCCUGGAUGACGAGGGUAUUGAUGGCCCUCACGUUCCCCAGACAUGAAUCCAAUUCAGAACCUCUGGGACGUUAUGUAUUGUUGCAUCCCACGCCGCCAAAUAGCGCCACAGACUGUCCAGGAGCUCACUGAUGCCCUGAUCCAUGUCUGGGAGGAGAUCCCCUGGACACCAUCUGCCGUCUCAUCAGGAGCAUGCCCAGACAUUGUUGGGAGUGCAUACAGGCACGUGGGGGCCAUACACACUACUGAGUCACAUUAUGAGUUUGCCAUGAUGAAAAUCACGUAAGUUGGCAGAGCCUGUGAUUUUGUUUGUUUACAUUGAUUUUCAGUGUGAGUUUGAAUCCAGCCCUCAAUUGGUUGGUGAUUUUGGUUUCCAUUGACUGUCAUUUUGUUCUCAAUGAAUUACACAAUGUACAGUAAAGAGUUUGAUCCUACAUACACUGUACCCACAUUAACUGCUUUGGGAAAUUAAAAAUCAUAUCAAG